GUGCUGUUUGUCAUAAGUUGAACUCUGGCAGCCUCGGUCCAAACGUUGCGUAUGUGAAAAGCACUGAUUACUAUGAAUGGCUGUUAUGUUCGUGCUCAUGGUCAUUUGAAGUCGUUCCAAGGAAAAAGGCUUUUUAACUCUUUCUGUGUAAGAUUAUUUGUUCAGAUAUUCAAGAAUUUAACAGUGAAUGUCACAUGCCGCAACCCCCAAACAACUUUUGCAUGAAGGUGCCAAUAACUGAUUUUGAUGAACUCACUUUCCACUAUGUUGAUUGUAUUGCCGUCCAUGUGGACCAUGUCAAACGACAGGUAUAUUCUAUUAUUUCUGUUGCACUUUGUGUUUGAUGCUUGUCUGUUGCUUGAUUAUGUGAAACUACAGUCUGGAGGUGCACAGAUGCAACCUAGUUCAACGCUCUCGGUAUUCCAGAAUGGUUCCGUGGGACAUCAACCUCUGUCGCUAAUCAAGUAGAGCUCAUUAUGAUUUUUGUUUUAACAUAUCUGCUUCAAUUCCUGAAGUACAUAUCAUUGUCACAUAUAUCGUGUACGUGUAUUAUAUGGUGAGGAAGUUCUCAGCUAUAAUACGAAAAAAUUGUAAAUCUUGUUAAAUUUUUAAAAAACUUAAAACAUUUAAUAAAUCCUGAAAAUCAUAAAAAAAUAAAAAAUAAUAAAAAAAUCCAAAAAAACUUGAAAAAAUGGGCAUAGAUGAUGGCUUUAAUAUUGUUUUCUCAUCAAAUAUAAAUGUUGUGCAUAGGAUCACCAAACAUAGAUGUUGAUUGAGGAUGGUUUUGGAAAAGGAGAUGUCUAUUAUUUGAACAAUUUAUGAUCUCCAGUUAUUUUGUGUGUAAUGUUGUCAAAAGAUUGAUAUAAAUGUUUGAGUCAAAGAUAAAGACAUCCAUGUGUUAGAAGAUCAUCUAUGAUGUCGUUGUUAAAAGAUUUUGUAUUAAAGAUUUCAUAUUUAAUAAUUGUAUACAUGAAAAGUCAAAAAUUUUAUUUUUUUGACAAAGAUCCAUUUCACUACAAUGUCCAUUGAUCUUGUUUACGUAUGCCAACAUCCAUUUUUAAUUAUUUAUGUCUGUCCAGCCUUCUAUAACUCAUGCUAGUUAGAGCUUGUCGAAUUGAAAUCAAUUUAAAGAUGAUUCUGCUCUACCCUUUCCCGUUUGAAUGGGAAUUUUGUUUAAUGUCUUAUUUUGUGUCAAUAAGAGAAGUGAAAUGCACAUCUGAGAAGGCAAGCAGUAGAAGCUACUAUGAACUGACAAUUGAGAUAUGCUUACAAAAGAAAGCAUAUGAAAAGGAAAAAUCGUUACUGAAAACAAGAAACAAAGCAGUUUUGGUGGUUGAGUUCUAAAAUCUUUCUGUGGUGAAACCGGGUGUAUAACCUUUUGUUGGUUUCUAAACUUUCUCCACUUGCUCAUGGUUGUUCAAUUAUCUGGAAAAUUACCAAUGGCCUGAUUAGUUUUAUUUUAAUCUGUUAUUAUUCGUUAUUCAUGAAAACACAGCAUUGUAUAUGGAAAUAUUAGGAAGAGCGUCUACCAUACCAGGGCCAUUGUUACCAAAACUGGUUUGGGGAGCACAAGGAGCAAGUUGUUGAUGCUGUUACAUUGAAGACUCUGGACUUUGUGUGUGGUAUUCAGCAUCUGUGUUCCGCUUAAUGCAUAUUUUUUUCGUGAUCACGGGUAUAAUGGUUGGUAUUCAUCUUGUUGGAUCUGCUUUAUCGACGUUGGGCCUGGCAUUGAUCGGUUCUAUUUGAUAUUUCAUUAAGUUGGAUAUACCCUCAUUUGGAUCCAUAUCUAGUUUGAAGUUUAUGUGAGAUCUUUUUUAGUAAAAAGGAAA